rnacentral:rRNA from 1 species
GAUGAACGCUAGCUACAGGCUUAACACAUGCAAGUCGCAGGGUAACAUGAGGGAAGCUUGCUUUCCUUGAUGACGACUGGCGCACGGGUGAGUAACGCGUAUCCAACCUUCCCAUAACUACGGGAUAACCCGUUGAAAGACGGCCUAAUACCGUAUGAUAUCGUUUGCUGACAUCAAAUAACGAUUAAAGGUUUAGCGGUUAUGGAUGGGGAUGCGUCUGAUUAGCUUGUUGGCGGGGUAACGGCCCACCAAGGCGACGAUCAGUAGGGGUUCUGAGAGGAAGGUCCCCCACAUUGGAACUGAGACACGGUCCAAACUCCUACGGGAGGCAGCAGCGAGGAAUAUUGGUCAAUGGGCGAGAGCCUGAACCAGCCAAGUAGCGUGCAGGAUGACCGCCCUAUGGGUUGUAAACUGCUUUUAUGUGGGGAUAAAGUGCGUGACGUGUCAUGCAUUGCAGGUACCACAUGAAUAAGGACCGGCUAAUUCCGUGCCAGCAGCCGCGGUAAAAGGG